GGAAGGAGUGAGAGAAGGUUGUGGCGAAAGAGAACAAUAGGGGUCGCCACUAACCCAUGCCGAAGCCUCGUGGAGCUUUAGGUGUUUUCGCUCACAAACACACACAGCGCCCUGUCUGAGAAUCGAAACCGCGAUACUCCGACCGCGAGUCCG